GACGAACGCUGGCGGCGUGCUUAACACAUGCGAGUCGAACGGAAAGGCCCUGCUUUUGUGGGGUGCUCGAGUGGCGAACGGGUGAGUAACACGUGAGUAACCUGCCCUUGACUUUGGGAUAACUUCAGGAAACUGGGGCUAAUACCGGAUAGGAGCUCCUGCUGCAUGGUGGGGGUUGGAAAGUUUCGGCGGGUGGGGAUGGACGGGCGGCUUAUCAGCUUGUUGGUGGGGUAGUGGCUUACCAAGGCUUUGACGGGUAGCCGGCAUGAGAGGGUGACCGGGCACAUUGGGACUACGAGACGGCCCAGACGGCUACGGGAGGCAGCAGUGGGGAAUAUUGCACAGUGGGCGGACGCCUGAUGCAGCAACGCCGCGGGCGGGAUGACGGCCUUCGGGGUGUAAACCGCUUUCGCCUGUGACGAAGCGUGAGUGACGGUAAUGGGUAAAGAAGCACCGGCUAACUACGUG
rnacentral:rRNA from 1 species